CCUACGGGGGGCAUCAGUGGGGAAUAUUGGACAAUGGGGGGAACCCUGAUCCAGCCAUGCCGCGUGUGUGAAGAAGGCCCUCGGGUUGUAAAGCACUUUCAGUGAGGAAGAACGCCUGGUGGUUAAUACCCAUCAGGAAAGACAUCACUCACAGAAGAAGCACCGGCUAACUCCGUGCCAGCAGCCGCGGUAAUACGGAGGGUGCGAGCGUUAAUCGGAAUUACUGGGCGUAAAGCGCGCGUAGGUGGCUUGAUAAGCCGGUUGUGAAAGCCCCGGGCUCAACCUGGGAACGGCAUCCGGAACUGUCAAGCUAGAGUGCAGGAGAGGAAGGUAGAAUUCCCGGUGUAGCGGUGAAAUGCGUAGAGAUCGGGAGGAAUACCAGUGGCGAAGGCGGCCUUCUGGACUGACACUGACACUGAGGUGCGAAAGCGUGGGUAGCAAACAGGAUUAGAUACCCGAGUAGUC
rnacentral:rRNA from 1 species